GACGAACGCUGGCGGCACGCCUAACACAUGCAAGUCGAACGGAGAAAAUGAUUUCGGUUGUUUUCUUAGUGGCGGACGGGUGAGUAACACGUGAGGAACCUGCCUCUGAGAGUGGGAUAGCUUCUGGAAACGGAUGGUAAUACCGCAUAACAUAGUGAAACCGCAUGAUUUUGCUAUCAAAGUAUUUCGCUCAGAGAUGGCCUCGCGUCUGAUUAGAUAGUUGGUGAGGUAACGGCUCACCAAGUCGACGAUCAGUAGCCGGACUGAGAGGCUGAACGGCCACAUUGGGACUGAGACACGGCCCAGACUCCUACGGGAGGCAGCAGUGGGGGAUAUUGCACAAUGGGGGAAACCCCGGUGCAGCGAUGCCGCGUGGAGGAAGAAGGUUUUCGGAUUGUAAACUCCUGUCGUAAGGGAAGAGGAAGGACUGUACCUUACAAGAAAGCUCCGGCUAACUACGUGCCAGCCGCCGCCGUAA
rnacentral:rRNA from 1 species